GUCUAUUCGGAGACAUCCGAUAAAAUUGAAACGUUACAGAAAAGAUUAGCAUGGCCCCUGCGCAAGGAUCACACGCACAAAUUGAGAAAUGGUAACUUAAUUU
rnacentral:snRNA from 1 species